rnacentral:tRNA from 1 species
GCCUUCGUGGUGUAAUGGUCAGCACACUGAGCCGGUAUUUCACAGAUCCGUGGUUCGAUUCCCGGCGAAGGCG